rnacentral:misc_RNA from 1 species
AAACCAAUCCAGCCUCGUGCUUGGGUCUUGGGCCUUUCGCCUCUGGGCGGGCCUCAAAAUCAGUGGCGGCGCCUCCUGGCUCUACGCGUAGUAAUACUCCUCGCUAUAGAUGUCUGGUGGUGUCCUGCCAAAACCCCCAUAUUUUUUAA